UACGGAGGGUGCAAGCGUUGUUCGGAAUCACUGGGCGUAAAGGGCGUGUAGGCGGCCUGUUAAGUCUGAUGUGAAAUCCCCUCGCUCAACGAGGGAACUGCGUCGGAAACUGGCAGGCUCGAGUACCGGAGAGGAGUGUGGAAUUCCUGGUGUAGCGGUGAAAUGCGCAGAUAUCAGGAGGAACACCAAUGGCGAAGGCGCUCUGCUAGGCCGCAACUGACACUGAGGGACGAAAGCUAGGGGAGCGAAUGGG
rnacentral:rRNA from 1 species